AGAUUGACCUAAGCUUAUUUAGAUGACCAAAUUAUGAACAAUGACCCACCCUGAGGCUGUAAGAGUGUGCCUGAUGAGAGAAUGCGUACUUGAAGCAGUUAUAGGACUUAAUAUAUUCAAGAAGACCAAGCGAUCCUUAUAGGACUACAUGCAAAGCAAUGUACUCCAGACCGCACAACUGGACAUACAGAUUGUGCCCUGAUGCCAUCUGCCCCGUUCUCCCAGCCUCAUCUUCCCUCUCUAUGCCUAGCUUCACAUCGGUUGGCUCUUCUUUGGCUCUCUUCAUCCCGUCUGCCUGCCUCGCUGCUCUCCCUGAUAACAUUUCCUGACUGAUGCCUUGCACUCUGACUCUUUCUGCAAGGUGCCAUUCUCAGCAGUGACUCAAUUUAGUGCCACCCUGCUGCUUGGCAUUGCACUUCUGAGGUCAUCACCAUAUUUCUUCAGCCAACCAAAAUGAUUCUCACCAACCACCCCAGCUCUGCUAACCUUGAUGUUUGAGAUCUGCUGUUUUUGAAGCAGGGGACCACUGUCCAUUAAAGGCUUCAUAAACCAUUUAACAAAAUCACAUAAGAUAGGGUAGUUCAUACUUCAUGCGAUGUGCCAUACAAUGGAAGGGCCAUGUUCCUUAUCACAUCUGGAUACUGCAAAGCUCCUGUCUCCUCAACAAUUUACGAACUAAUCAAUUAUUAAAUGAAGAAAUGCUAUGUAAAAGCAAAGAUAUUUCUUCCUGUGGAAUUUGAGUCUUAAAUGUAGUAAUUACUGUUUUAUGGCAUAAAUAAAAGUUAAAUAUUAUAUUA